rnacentral:rRNA from 1 species
GACGAACGCUGGCGGCGUGCUUAACACAUGCAAGUCGAACGGGAUCCGGGCUUUCGGGUUUGGUGAGAGUGGCGAACGGGUGAGUAACACGUGAGUAACCUGCCCCCUUCUUUGGGAUAACGUCGGGAAAUCGGCGCUAAUACUGGAUAUUCUUGCUGCAUCGCAUGGUGUGGUUUGGAAAGGGUUUCUGGUGGGGGAUGGGCUCGCGGCCUAUCAGCUUGUUGGUGGGGUGAUGGCCUACCAAGGCUUUGACGGGUAGCCGGCCUGAGAGGGUGUCCGGCCACACUGGGACUGAGACACGGCCCAGACUCCUACGGGAGGCAGCAGUGGGGAAUAUUGCACAAUGGGCGCAAGCCUGAUGCAGCGACGCCGCGUGAGGGAUGACGGCCUUCGGGUUGUAAACCUCUUUCAGUAUGGAACAAGGAUCCUUCGUUUGGGGGGUUUGAGGGUACGUGCAGAAGAAGCGCCGGCUAACUACGUG